GGCGGUAAUGCACCGUAUUGUUGUUUGCCAACCGCCAUUAACAGUUAGUUGUAGAAGAACAGAUGGCGCGACAUGGUUUAGUGUAUUAUUUGUUCGAACCGGCAAGAAAAUACGACUAAAAUUUCAUUUUUAAGCUUCCCUUAAUAUAUAAAACUUAGUCAGAAAAAUUAGAAAAAGUCAAAGAGAGAGGAGGACGUACUCACCAGUCAACAAGACGAAACAAGAGGAACGUAUCUCAAGCAUAUAGCCUUGUGUCAUCAAAACAAGUUGUGACUAGGAGAAACGUAAAUGAAUGAGGCCACUCACGAAAGGAAAAACAACGUCGAUGGAGGAUAGGACAGAAGAGGAAAGACAAGAGCUCAGUGAGAGGAAAGAAAAACACUGCAAGAAACAACAGCAAAAGUGACGCACACCAACUUCCCAGUCAGAGGUCGCUUGAUGCUUCGGCAGGAAAUUCGCCGUCUGUUUAAACUACAGCUAUUGUCUGUUUUGAAACACGUUCACGUGAAGCCCUUUCAGAGCUUGCGGCUACAUUGUGAAAAAGUUUCGCCUGUCGAAACAUGGAUCCAAAGUGAGGUUGGAGAUCGAAGGUCCUUUUUCCAUCAGUUACCAACGAAUGAAAGGACAAAGCAGUGAUGAGCCGCCAGAGAGGAAGCGUCAGCUUCGGUAAAAGGAUUAGGAGCGCUGCUGCAAGUGGAAUCAGCAAAUUUGCAAGUGGCAGAAGAUUCCUGUUGGGACAUUGAAACUUUUUCAAGGUUAAUCUGAUUAUGUUUUUAUGGGGGGUGUGAACAUCCCAGCAUGUAGUGACUGAAUGCGGUCGCUGCAUGCUUGCUCAGUGUAAGGGAUUGCUGUAAAGUCAAUGACACAAUAGAAGCGAUUGUCUAUGUGCUCCUCCAGGAGGACUGAACAUUACCGGUGACUCGACGCAAUCUGCUGGGUUUCCUUUGAUAGGAAACUUUAUAAACCAGUCUGAAUACUGAACUGAACCUGACUGCAUUGUUUGAUAACUGGGAUGAAUUAGAGCGUAUGUAUAAUUGGACUGAAAUGACUUUUUACUGUAAACACGACGCGUUGAGUCGGUGCGAUACAAAUAAGCUGGAUUGAAUUGAACUAUAAGGCCGCAAUCAGCCGGUUUUUAUGGAAAACAAGAGCACAGCAAUUUGCCAGGUUUCUCUUCCAUGUGCUUAGAAAAGUCUUGACAUCUGCUGGGCAUUUUAACACUGAAAGAAUAAACCUUAUAAUGUGCAGCUGUGUAGAUAUUACUGUGAUAAAUAGUUAGUUUUACAUUUUAUUUCUCAGAACUGUUUCAUAAUAUGAGAAGCUGCAAGUUGGAUCCAAAAAUCUUAUGGUAACUUCAGCUAAAAGCAAUUACAAGACAGUUUUUUUUUGUUUGUUUUCAAGCAAAUAUAAUCUAGACUAGAUGCAAAAAUACCACUGCCAUUUAUUUUGUGUUCCCCCUUUUUACUGCCUUUUCAAACAAUAAACAAUGCACUUAUCCCCA